rnacentral:lncRNA from 1 species
CACAGGGUGUCGAUGGAAACAAACACGGCAGGCCCAUCAGGCCCUCACAUUUCCCUUAAGUGCCAAGAGGCGGUUCUUUCUCAGUCACCACAAUUGUUCCUGUUUAACAUGGCAGCCUUAAGCCAGACAUAAUUAGACUUUUUCUUGACAAAUCAUUUGUGCCAAGUCUUGACAGGUUGGAAACCGAAACGGUUAUGCUGCAUUCUUUAGGGUCUGAACCAGACAAGAUUUAAAAAAAAAAAGAAAUAAAAUGAAAGCGAGUACAUGGUAAGCUGUAACAGAACCACAUCUCCACAUUCCCUAGCCUGCUGUAGAUUGAAGAAAAUAGGAAUAAGCAUCUUUCGACCACAAACAGAUGUGCUUGAUAAAGAAAAUGUCAGCAAAAAUACUAAAGCAAUGUGUCACAGCAGCUUUCUGACAGAUAGAGGGAAAAGGUGA